UAGGGAAUCUUCGGCAAUGGACGAAAGUCUGACCGAGCAACGCCGCGUGAGUGAAGAAGGUUUUCGGAUCGUAAAACUCUGUUGUUAGAGAAGAACAAGGACGUUAGUAACUGAACGUCCCCUGACGGUAUCUAACCUAAAAGCCACGGCUAACUACGUGCCAGCAGCCGCGGUAAUACGUAGGUGGCAAGCGUUGUCCGGAUUUAUUGGGCGUAAAGCGAGCGCAGGCGGUUUCUUAAGUCUGAUGUGAAAGCCCCCGGCUCAACCGGGGAGGGUCAUUGGAAACUGGGAGACUUGAGUGCAGAAGAGGAGAGUGGAAUUCCAUGUGUAGCGGUGAAAUGCGUAGAUAUAUGGAGGAACACCAGUGGCGAAGGCGGCUCUCUGGUCUGUAACUGACGCUGAGGCUCGAAAGCGUGGGGAGCAAACAGG
rnacentral:rRNA from 1 species